AGAAAAUAAAUGGGCAUGACCCAAUAGAAAAUAAGUGGGCAUGGCCCAAUAGAAAAUAAAAAUAAAUAGGUUUGGCCCAAUUAGGAAAAAUGGAUAAGCCCAUGGAGAAGGCCCAAUGUUGUCGUGGAGGCAUGCCGAACAAAGUAUGUGACCACCAAAUAGGAAUAAUUAUACGCGUACGAAUCAAUAGUGAAGUAAUAUCCCACUAUUAUGAGAUAGGGAUCAGCCUAGCAUGUAGUCAGUGACGCAUUCGGUCCACUAUGAAUAGGUAAAGGCAUCUCCUAGCAUUUUAUUCCGAGUCGUUUCGCUGUUAGAGGUCAAGUCGUAGCAUUUUAUUUAUUAAGUUGUAAACGAAUUCUAAAUUUUUAUAUAAGCAUUAAUUUGGAGAUUAUAGAUUUUAA
rnacentral:sRNA from 1 species